rnacentral:rRNA from 1 species
AUUGAACGCUGGCGGCAGGCUUAACACAUGCAAGUCGAGCGGGGUGAUGGUGCUUGCACUAUCACUUAGCGGCGGACGGGUGAGUAAUGCUUAGGAAUCUGCCUAUUAGUGGGGGACAACAUUUCGAAAGGGAUGCUAAUACCGCAUACGUCCUACGGGAGAAAGCAGGGGAUCGCUUGUGACCUUGCGCUAAUAGAUGAGCCUAAGUCGGAUUAGCUAGUUGGUGGGGUAAAGGCCUACCAAGGCGACGAUCUGUAGCGGGUCUGAGAGGAUGAUCCGCCACACUGGGACUGAGACACGGCCCAGACUCCUACGGGAGGCAGCAGUGGGGAAUAUUGGACAAUGGGGGGAACCCUGAUCCAGCCAUGCCGCGUGUGUGAAGAAGGCCUUAUGGUUGUAAAGCACUUUAAGCGAGGAGGAGGCUCUUUUGGUUAAUACCCAAGAUGAGUGGACGUUACUCGCAGAAUAAGCACCGGCUAACUCUGUGUCAGCCGCCGCGGUAA